AUGGACCCGGAGGACAUGGUUGAUCGGGACCGGUCCGAGAUCGAGAGCUCCCGCGCCGACGAGCUCAACGGGCUCGCGCUGCUCUUCAUUCUCGGGGCGUCGGGCGGCGGCGCGGUGGGCCGAGUUCUUGGGGCCGCCUGGCGCGCCAGGCUGCCUGCCGUCGUACCGGCCACAAGGGCCGUCCGAAGCGCCGCGAGAGCAGCCAAGACGCCCACGACACCUCCCGCCGCACCCCGGGCGGGUUCUGCUGCCCCAUCGGCUGGUGCGAGACCAGCGACGACGGGCGCCGCCCCUGCCUCUGCACCCCCGGCGGGCUCUGCUACCCCACCGGCUGUCCCUUUCUUGGAUCCUGUGAAAGCAGUUAAUGAUGCUAUCUCGAAGGUGGAAACUCCUGUUUUCUUUCCUUCCAGGAUUGCCAACACGUACAUUGAGAUCGUAAAAUUACUAUCUCAUGGUGGAUGGUCUGUAUAUCUUCUGGAUAAGUAUGCUGAAAAAGGGUGUUCAGACGUUUGCCCUUUCACAGGUAAUGGUGAGUUCUCCCCAGUGCCUGUCCAGAAGCCAGCAGUGGCUGUCCAGUUGCCUGCUGAGGUGGAUGAGAAGCAUCAUUCGGUGGGAGAUAAGGGGGAUGCAGAGGGAGUUGCUGUCCAGGUGCCCGACAAGGUAAAUGAGAAGCAUCAUUCAGAGGGAGACAAGGAGGAUUCAGAGGGAGGUGAGAAGCAGCCUGCAGAUGGAGACUAUGCUUGCUUUUUUCAUGAGAUCGGCAAAAAGGCGUAUGAUUUGCUGUACCAGGACUAUAACACAGGUCUGAAGAUGGUAUCUGACUGUAAGGUGCUUGACACCGCUGUUCUUUUGUCUGAUGGCUCUGAGCAAGUUGGAAAAGCAUCUUUGGGAUUUGAGUUGUCAUCUGAUACAAAGCUUAUCAAACUUACACUUGAUGAUGUGUUGAGGCCUGGUUUGAAGGGACUUCUGUCUAUUCCCGUCUCCUCCCAGAGCUCAUCGAAGGUGGACCUUCAGUAUCGUCAUCUCGGUGCUUGUAUAACCGGAAGUUCUGAGCUUCAGGGAUCGCCAAUUGUUUCGUUUUCUGCUAUGAUUGGCACGAAAAGCAUUGCUUUAGGUGCUGAUGUUUCGGUCAUCACAAAGUCCCUCGAUGCUUUGGGCGCGGUUGGUUCCCUUGAAACCCAGCUCCUGCGAUUUCCUAAGUACACCUGUGGUUUGGUUCUAUCGGAAGGAGACGUGGGUGCUUCUUUCACAAUGGAAAAUGCCGACGUUCUCACAGCAACUUAUCAUCAGAAGUUAGACGAGACGACGUCCAUCGCUGCCAAGGUGCAGCGUGUUCUGUCUUCCAACGACAGCACUCUUACGGCGGGUUUUUCUCAUUCUCUGGAUCCGAACACAACGGUGAAGGCCAAGCUUGGCAGUGAUGGAGCGGUGAGCGUCCUGCUCCGGUACGGCCCCAAGCCCAAGCGCUACGUCGCCUUCUCCGCCGAGUCCAAUUCCCAAGCGCCUCAAAAGGAUACCAAGUUUGGUCUGUGUGUCGCGCUAGGGGCGUGA
rnacentral:rRNA from 1 species